AUCAACGCUGGCGGCGUGCCUAACACAUGCAAGUCGCACGAGAAAGGGCUUUCGGGUCUGAGUAAAGUGGCGCACGGGUGAGUAACACAUGAAUGAUCUACCUCCGAGUGGGGAAUAACUGAGGGAAACCUUAGCUAAUACCGCAUAACACUUACGAGUCAAAGCAGCAAUGCGCUUGGAGAGGAGUUCGCGGCAGAUUAGCUAGUUGGCGGGGUAAUGGCCCACCAAGGCGAUGAUCUGUAUCCGGCCUGAGAGGGCGCACGGACACACUGGAACUGAAACACGGUCCAGACUCCUACGGGAGGCAGCAGUGGGGAAUUUUGCGCAAUGGGGGAAACCCUGACGCAGCAACGCCGCGUGGAGGAUGAAGUCUCUUGGGACGUAAACUCCUUUCGAUCGGGACGAUAAUGACGGUACCGAUAGAAGAAGCCCCGACUAACUUCGUGCCAGCAGCCGCGGUAAUACGAGGGGGGCAAGCGUUGUUCGGAAUUAUUGGGCGUAAAGGGCGCGUAGGCGGUUUGGCAAGUUUGGUGUGAAAUCUUCGGGCUCAACUCGAAGUCUGCACCGAAAACUGCCGGGCUUGAGUAUGGGAGAGGUGAGUGGAAUUUCCGGUGUACGGUGA
rnacentral:rRNA from 1 species